rnacentral:tRNA from 1 species
UGCCAGAGUGGAGCAGCCCGGUAGCUCGCAAGGCUCAUAACCUUGAGGUCGGCGGUUCAAAUCCGCCCUCUGCAACCA